rnacentral:rRNA from 1 species
CCUACGGGAGGCUGCAGUGGGGAAUAUUGCACAAUGGGGGAAACCCUGAUGCAGCGACGCCGCGUGAGCGAUGAAGUAUUUCGGUAUGUAAAGCUCUAUCAGCAGGGAAGAAGAUGACGGUACCUGACUAAGAAGCCCCGGCUAACUACGUGCCAGCAGCCGCGGUAAUACGGAGGGGGCAAGCGUUAUCCGGAUUUACUGGGUGUAAAGGUAGCGUAGACGGCAAUGCAAGGCAGGUGUGAAAGCCGGGGGCUCAACCCCGGGACUGCAUUUGGAACUGGGUGGCUGGAGUGUCGGAGGGGCAGGCGGAAUUCCUAGUGUAGCGGUGAAAUGCGUAGAUAUUAGGAGGAACACCGGUGGCGAAGGCGGCCUGCUGGACGAUGACUGACGUUGAGGCUCGAAAGCGUGGGGAGCAAACAGGAUUAGAUACCCGUGUAGUC